AGCAGCCGCGGUAAUUCCAGCUCCAAUAGCGUAUAUUAAAGUCGUUGCAGUUAAAAAGCUCGUAGUUGAAUUUCGGGAUUGGCGCAUCGGUCGUGCCUCACGGGGUAUGAACUGGUGCAGUCAAUUUCUCACCUUCUGGAGAACCGCGAUGUCCUUAAUUGGGUGCCGCGGGGAACCAGGACCUUUACUUUGAAAAAUUAGAGUGUUUAAAGCAGGCAUUUUUGCUUGAAUACAUUAGCAUGGAAUAAUAAAAUAGGACGGCAUGGUUCUAUUUUGUUGGUUUCUAGGACCACCGUAAUGAUUAAUAGGGAUAGUUGGGGGCAUUAGUAUUCAAUUGUCAGAGGUGAAAUUCUUGGAUUUAUUGAAGACUAACUACUGCGAAAGCAUUUGCCAAGGAUGUUUUCAUUAAUCAAGAACGAAAGUUAGGGGAUCGAAGACGAUCAGAUACCGUCGUAGUCUUAACCAUAAACUAUGCCGACUAGGAAUCAGACGAUGUUAAUUUUUUAAUGACUCGUUUGGC
rnacentral:rRNA from 1 species